rnacentral:rRNA from 1 species
CGGUAGGUCAGUAUGGCCCCGAAUAUCCCGGGCUACACGCGAGCUACAAUGGUUGGUACAAUGGGUAUCUACCCCGAAAGGGGACCGGGAAUCUCCUAAACCAAUCUUAGUUCGGAUUGAGGGCUGGCAACUCGCCCUCAUGAAGCUGGAAUCCGUAGUAAUCGCGUUUCAACAGAACGCGGUGAAUACGUCCCUGCUCCUU